GCUAUGGGGAGCAUAACAUGCAGUCGAACGGCAGUACGGUAAUCGGUCUGGUGGCGAGUGGCGAACGGGUGAGUAAUGUAUCGGAACGUGCCUGGUAGCGGGGGAUAACUACGCGAAAGCGUAGCUAAUACCGCAAACGCCCUACGGGGGAAAGCAGGGGAUCGCAAGACCUUGCACUAUUAGAGCGGCCGAUAUCGGAUUAGCUAGUUGGUGGGGUAACGGCUCACCAAGGCGACGAUCCGUAGCUGGUUUGAGAGGACGACCAGCCACACUGGGACUGAGACACGGCCCAGACUCCUACGGGAGGCAGCAGUGGGGAAUUUUGGACAAUGGGGGAAACCCUGAUCCAGCCAUCCCGCGUGUGCGAUGAAGGCCUUCGGGUUGUAAAGCACUUUUGGCAGGAAAGAAACGUCAUGGGCUAAUACCCCGUGAAACUGACGGUACCUGCAGAAUAAGCACCGGCUAACUACGUGCCAGCAGCCGCGGUAAUACGUAGGGUGCAAGCGUUAAUCGGAAUUACUGGGCGUAAAGCGUGCGCAGGCGGUUCGGAAAGAAAGAUGUGAAAUCCCAGAGCUUAACUUUGGAACUGCAUUUUUAACUACCGAGCUAGAGUGUGUCAGAGGGAGGUGGAAUUCUCGCUGUGUAGCAGUGAAAUGCGUAGAUAUGCGGAGGAACACCGAUGGCGAAGGCAGCCUCCUGGGAUAACACUGACGCUCAUGCAGCGAAAGCGUGGGGGAGCAAACAGGAUUAGAUACCCUGGUAGUCCACGCCCUAAACGAUGUCAACUAGCUGUUGGGGCUCUUCGGGCCUUGGUAGCGCAGCUCACGCGUGAUAGUUGACCGCCUGGGGGAGUACGGUCGCAAGAUGAAAACACACAGGUAAUUGACAGGGGACCCGCACAAGCGGUGGGAUGAUGUGGGAUUAUUUCGAUGCAACGCGAAAAACCUUACCUACCGCUUGACAUGUCUGGAAUUCCUGACGAGAUUUGGAAGUGCUCGCUACGAGACCGGAACACAGUGCUGCAUGGCUGUCGUCAGCUCGUGUCGUGAGAAUGGUGGGGUAGUCCCGCACGAGCGCAACCCUGUCAUAGUGCUACGACGGCACGUCUGAUGAACUGCAGUGACACCGGAGAAAGAGGGGGGGAAAUGGACGUCAGUCUCAUGCCUUAGGCUAGGCUCACGUCAACAUGUCGGGACGAGGGUCCCGACCGCAGGGACGAUCAGACCGAUCGGAUUCCGAUCCCGACGCACUCACAUGCUUGA
rnacentral:rRNA from 1 species